UACGUAGGGUGCAAGCGUUGUCCGGAAUUAUUGGGCGUAAAGGGCUCGUAGGCGGUCCAUCACGUCGGGAGUGAAAAGCUGGGGCUUAACCCCAGUCCUGCUUCCGAUACGGGUGGACUAGAGGUAGGCAGGGGAGAACGGAAUUCCUGGUGUAGCGGUGAAAUGCGCAGAUAUCAGGAGGAACACCGGUGGCGAAGGCGGUUCUCUGGGACGGUACUGACGCUGAGACGCGAAAGCGUGGGGAGCGAACAGG
rnacentral:rRNA from 1 species